AAAGCUUUGUGGAUUAUCUUGGAAAGAGAUCCUCUAUGCCUGGUCAAGCCUUGAGCUGACAGCAAACUUUAUGAGACCUUCAGCUAGGAAUACCCAGCUUAGCCACAUUACUGGGAUGGGGCUGUAGCUGGUUCUUUUGGAGUGCUUUUCCUGUAAGCAUAGGGCUGGGGAUUCUAUCACCAACAAUCAGUGAACCCAGCAUAGAAGUGGAUGCCUAGAUCCUGGCAUGAAGGAGAAUCAGGAAUUCAAGGACAAAUCUGAGAGCAGCCUGGGUGUGGGUGGAUUCUUCAGGCCACUGAACAUCAGGCUAUUUAUUACAUGGCCUAAGUAACUAGUAGACAAGGUAAAGGAGAAAGCAGGGGGCACACAUGUGAGGGUUACUGUAGCUUUUCUGUAAAUUUCAAAAUAAAAUGUUAAAAAUAAA
rnacentral:lncRNA from 1 species